rnacentral:rRNA from 1 species
GACGAACGCUGGCGGCGUGCUUAACACAUGCAAGUUGAACGAGAAUUUUUCGAGUGAUUUCUUCGGAAUGCUCAUGAAAAAGGAAAGUAGCGAACGGGUGAGUAACACGUGAGAAACCUGCCUUUCACAAAGGGAUAGCCUCGGGAAACCGGGAUUAAUACCCUAUGAAACCAAACACUCGCAUGAGAGAUUGGUUAAAGAUUUAUCGGUGUUAGAUGGUCUCGCGUCUGAUUAGCUAGUUGGUGGGAUAAAAGCCUACCAAGGCAACGAUCAGUAGCCGGAUUGAGAGGUUGAACGGCCACACUGGAACUGAGACACGGUCCAGACUCCUACGGGAGGCAGCAGUGGGGAAUUUUGCACAAUGGAGGAAACUCUGAUGCAGCGACGCCGCGUGAGUGAUGAAGGUCUUCGGAUUGUAAAACUCUGUCCUUAGUGAAGAUAAUGACAGUAACUAAGAAGCAAGCCCUGGCUAAAUACGUG